UACGUAGGGUGCGAGCGUUGUCCGGAAUUAUUGGGCGUAAAGGGCUCGUAGGCGGUCUGUUGCGUCAGGAGUGAAAACCCGGGGCUCAACCCCGGGCCUGCAUUCGAUACGGGCAGACUAGAGUUCAGUAGGGGAGUCUGGAAUUCCUGGUGUAGCGGUGAAAUGCGCAGAUAUCAGGAGGAACACCAGUGGCGAAGGCGCCACUCUGGGCCGUAACUGACGCUGAGGAGCGAAAGCGUGGGUAGCAAACAGG
rnacentral:rRNA from 1 species